AGAGUUCGGAAGGAGGAGGAGGAUGAUGGCGGCGACUUCCAGUUCCCCCCGCUGUUGCUGCUGCUGCUGCUGCUGUUUACCCGGUGACUAUCUUCCCCCCCGCCGCUUUCAGACUCAAGACUACUGACUACUGAGGCAGCCCGUGGUGCUCUGCUAUUGGGUGUCAAGAUCAUGUGAUCUUACAUUACAACAUUUGUCUUAAAGUGGAUCACGCCCUUCUUCUCCUCACCCACAAUGCCGCUCACCUGGAAGAAGAACACGAGACGUUCAACAUAAUGAGACCAGUCGCUAGAGGUUGGAUUGAAAGGCUCAACUCUUCCAAAUUGCAGCAUGCUCUGAGGGAUUGCUUCGAUGAUGACCACCAGCAAGAAAAGGCAGAGGGAGAGCUCAAGCAUUUUAACCCCAGACCAGCUCAGAUGAGGAUGCUGAGGAACCAUUCGAUGAAGACCCAUCACUGUGUUCACCUGCACCCUCCACCAGUGCAGAUACACACACCUCUGUUGAUACGAAUAUGUUGCUAAAAGAGCUAAGAAAAUCUUCAAGCUCACUUGUCCUGCAUAAGGGAGUCCACUCUGACAUCUUGAUCACCAAAUCUUUCUUCGAAAUCCCAAGCUGCUGGUCUAUCUUUAGCCAUAUACAGAAGUACCUUUUCUGUGCAUAUCCAUCUGUGUGAUAAGGCUUGCUGUCCCGUCUCAUAUUCUUUUUGUUUGGCAUCCUUUAUCAAUUUCUCUUCUAAUUUGUUAGUAGCCACAAAAUUUCUUGAUCACAAAGGCUUCUACUUAUAGGCAUUCCUAGUAUUUUCUAAGGUCCUUGUUCGUGUCAAACUAUGACCUUCACUCACCCUCCUCUCUCUUUCUGGACUACUGCUACAUGAUCUCUCCCUCCUAUAAUCAGAGUCCCUUUUGCAAGUCCCUGAUCUUCUCCCAGGGCUGUGACCACUUUCAGGUUCACUUUCGGAACUCACAUUGCGUUUUCUGGCCUUCCACAUCUUACUUCAUUUUGCCAAUCCAUGGGUCUUAACUCUUGUCCCUCAUCUUGCACAUUCAGCCAAUGUUUGUAUUUGCCAGUGCUCUCCCAAUAAUGAUGGCAACCCUCCACACACUGGCAUAUAGGUUACUCUAGUGCCAACUUUGGGUAGUUGUUCUUUGGGAUAAAUAGCCUUAUCUUGCACUUCAGUGUCACUUUGUUCAUAAACAGUCAUCCCUUUAUCUGCCAUAAUCUGCUCCUCAUAAUUGUCUAACAUAUAUGUAUGCAAAAUGCAUAGUACCUCUUCACUUUCUAUGCUCUGUUCGGUUCUGUAAAUGUAUAAUCUGUGUUAAAUAGCCUCGAGGAAUGUACCCUAACAGUUUGAUUUCCAUGUUGUAAUGUUACUGUUUUUCCAUCACUGCCUAUAACCUUACUGAAGCCUUUCCAAUCUUUUAGCCCUUCUCUUUUGUAAUAUACCAUGACCCCUGUAUUAAACUGUAAUUUUGAUGGCCUUAUGCAGUGCCAUAAGGCUCGUCAAAUUUACUCCGAAACCUCAGCCUUGUUAAAUUCCUUUCUCCUUGUAUGCAGGGCAUUCAAAUGCUCAGAAAAAGUUAAACUAAUUGUAUCCCCUUCCAAGGCCAGUGGAUGAUGCCGCAUCACCAAAGCUAUUUUUGGGUUUCUCCCAUAAACUAAUUGAUAAGGACUGUACCCCUCAACCAUUUGAAGUGAAUUCUUCACAUGGACUGCCCACACAAGGGCAGAUGGCAGCUUACAGCUUGGUUGGUCAGCUAAGAUUUUGUGAAGAAUCUCAUCAAUUACCACCUGAUUUCUUUCACAAAUCCCAUUACGAAAGGGACUUUCCGCUCACAUUUUCACACAUUUUUAAAUUCACUAUUGGAAAUUCCCCCCAUUGUCAGUUAGGAAUUUAGCUGGUACUCCCAGUCCAGUUCCUAUCCAUUUUUCCAUUAUCUCAUCAAUAAUUACUUUUUUUUCUUUACUAUAUAUUACUGUUGACAGACUGAACUAGUUGAUAGACCACAAGGUGCAGGAGAACAAUGUUUUUGUCCUUGUCCCAUUCCUUCAGGGCCAUUGCGACAACUUCAUUAAAGUCUCUUGCUAAUGGGAGACUCACUACAGGAUGUAUUGGUGUCCUCCUAUAUCUUCUACAUAUAUCGUAUUUCUCACUGAUCUCUUCUAUAAGUUUAGUAUUCGGCAUACAUCACCCAUGCAUCCUUUAGUAGAAUUUUUAACCUAUGACAAGAUGCAUAGGCAAACUGCCGAUGUAGUUCGUAAACAAUUUGCCUUUUCUCCUUUAAACUCCUACUCCCUGAUGUCAUCAACAUCUUUAACAUCGUGAUUCAAAAUUUUAGGUCUUGUUAAGGGAAUACAAUAAUGUCCAAAUUGCGUAAAUUCUAAAUCUACAGAUUUUCCAAAAACAAUUGUAUUAUUGUGGUCUAUAUCUAAUUUUAUUUGAGUCUUUUUCAUAGAUGGCUUACUCAAUAGUAAGGGUAUUUCACUGGAUACAACAUCUGUACUGAUAAAAUGGUUUAUUCCAUCUAUGUUAUACAAAAUCACCACUCUCUAAUGAUUUUAACAUGUUAUCGUCCCUGAACCUGAAAUAAGUAAAACUUUCAUAUUCCUUAAA